AUUGAACGCUGGCGGCAGGCCUAACACUUGCAAGUCGAACGAGUGGCGGACGGGUGAGUUAUGUCUGGGCAACUGCCUGAUGGAGGGGGAUAACUACUGGAAACGGUAGCUAAUACCGCAUACCAUCGGAUGUCCCCAGACGGGCUUAGCGAGUAGGUGGGGUAAAGGUUCACCUAGGCGACGACCCCUAGCUGGUCCGAGAGGAUGACCAGCCACACUGGAACGGAGACACGGUCCAGAGUCCGACGGUAGGCAGCAGUGGGGAAGAUUGCACAAUGGGCGCAAGCCUGAUGCAGCCAUGCCGCGUGUAUGAAGAAGGCCUUCGGGUUGUAAAGUACUUUCAGCGGGGAGGCGUUACCCGCAGAAGAAGCACCGGCUAACUCCGUGCAAGCCGCCGCGGUAAUUC
rnacentral:rRNA from 1 species